ensembl:lncRNA
AAGCCCAAGCACUGAUAUCCAGGUUCACAACAGCCCAUCUUUCAAGUUUAUCAAGGUCCCUCUGGAUGGCCUCUCUUCCUUCCACUGUAUCAACCGCAUCGCUCAGUGUGGUGUCAUCAGCAAACUUGCUGAGGGUGCACUCAAUCCCAUCAUCUAUGUCAUUGAUAAAGAUGUUAAAGAGUACUGGUCCCAAGACAGACCCCUGAGGGACACCGCUUGUUACUGACAUCACCUGGACACAGAGCCAUUGACCACAGCCUUCUGUCUGCAACCAUACAACCAAGUCCUUAUUGCAAUGAAUAGUCCACAUUUCAAAUCCAUAUUUCUCCAAUUCAGAGAUAAGGAUGUGAUGUGGGACCAUGUCAAAGGCCUUGCAGAAGUCCAGGUAGAUGACAUCAGUUGUCUUUCCUCUGUUCACCAAUGCCAGUACUCCGUCAUAGAAGGCUGCCAGAUAGGUCAGACACAACCUUCCUUUGGUGAAGCCAUGCUGGCUGUCUCAGAUCACCCACUUGUAAUCAAGGGCUGCAAAAGUGUUGACUAUAGUUAGCUAUGACUUCAUGCACUCUUUGCAUUUCUGCAGCGUGCGCAUUUGCGCACUCUCUCAUUUCUCUCCCUCCCACAUGGAAGCCUUUCUGUUGGAGAAGCACUCUUACACAACAGAGGGGAACAAGGCCUCUCUGCUAUCUUGAGGCCUCUUGACGGGCACUCAGAAGAUCUCUCAUUCUCUAGAAAACACCCAGAUUCAGAAGUUGUUGAUGAGAGGGGAGGAUAAAUAUCAAUAUCUGCAAAAGCAGAGAGGUGAACACACACAGAGCAUUACUGCAGGCACCUGGACGAGCCUUUCUGUAACUUGACCUGUGAAAGCAAAGCACCAAAUGUAGCAAAGACAGGAAAAAACCUUCUGUUUCACAGGGCUUGCUCCUGGCAACAAGACGUGCCCCUAACACUGGGGCACGCUGAGAUGGGUGAACUGCAGAGGUCAGGACACUCUUGUCUUCUGCAGACCUGGCAAAGUGGCUGGAGCACACAAACCAGACCGCUCUGCCUGGACAACAGCAGCCUUUUCCAUUUCUCUGCUUCUGUUUCUGUAUCAGAAGAGCAGUCCUCACCAACACAACACCUGUGCUUGCCAGAAGGAGAAGUCCUGACCUCCCAGAGGCUCUUAAUUCGGAACUGAAUACUGCUCAAUUAAUUCUAUUAACACUUUGUAGACUCAGACUUGAGUCUACAGAUGACAAUGUUCCAUCAUGACAAUAGUUUCUGAAUAGGAGCCAUGCAGAACCUUGUAACGCUGUGUGCUGCUGUUAAUUGCCCUGUCAGGACACCCAGAAAAGCCUGAUAAAAAGAACUGACUUUAAGCCACCAUCUAGAGGAAUUCUUUCAAAAUAGAAAACCUGAUUCAGAGGGCUAUAGGGAGCUUUGCUAACGGUGUUAUAUCCAAGGAGUGAUAUUCAGUUUGACACAUAUAGAAGAGAUUGGUCUGUCCUACAUUGCUCUUAAAGGUGUAAAUAGGGCUCUCAGUAUAAUGCUAUUUCUACAUUAUCAGUGCUCCAGGAAGGCAGGGAUAUGUUACUUCCUUUUUGCAGGCAGUUUAUCUUAAGACACAUGCCCAAGAUCCAGCAAAGAAACCCUAGCUAAGGUGAGAAUUUACUUUGCAUCUCCUGAAUUCCAGUUCCCGCCAUCAUCCCUUUCCUAUCUUGAUUUGAAAUAAUGCUGAACAGAGUCGGCACCCAAAUGGCCACCCUAGCAUGUCACAGAGGUCAAGGGGGGACAAGGGACAGGUGGGAAAGAGGUGGUGCGGGCUUCACCUCCUGCUGUGCCUCAGAUGAGCAGAGAAGCUGCCCACAGCUGCUCUGGGAGCAAGUUCUCUUGGGUUUGUCAAGGCACAUGGGCAGCAUGAAGAAUACAGGAAGAAACCCCUAUGCAAGGGGUCUCUCAUUGAACCACAAUCCCGGCCUCUUACAAACAAUAUAUGUGAGGCAGGACAGUCCCGCCCUGCCAUCCAAUGCUUAUUUUGUGGCAAGUGAGGCAGUGAACAUCAACUCUCCGAACAUGGGGUGCUUUGAGGGGUGGGCAUGACCCAGGGUGCAGUAAUCAAUGUGUACUGAGCACGUGGAAUGCUGUAUUACUGACGUGCUCAGCUGAAGGUUUUGUGAUGUAGAAUACGGCACUUUUUUAGCUCCCUGGCACUUUUUGCUACUGGCUUGGGGAAAACUUCUCUAUUUAAAAUAGAAUUUGUGAUACCAAAUGAUUGCUAGGAGGUAGCAGAGGGAUAACCCUGAGCAGCUGAUUUCUAAAUCCUUUUCUUCACAGAGCCUGGCAAGCUCCUCAUCUCAGGGUUUGCUGUAGUUUAGAUCAUCUUGGGUUACUAAUAUUGAUCUAAAGAGAAAGAAAUAAGAACUAUCUGAGCUUCUCAGUGCACUUUUACAUCUAGAAUCCACA